UCCUCCGCUAUGAGCAGGCUUUCCUGUUCUGGCACGGCACUGCUGCAUAAGCUAUUAAGUUAAAUCAACUUAGCUGUUUUUAGUUUGUUUAAAUGGCCUUUUACAGUGCUGUGAGUACAUUGUUCUUAAACCAAAUCUUUUCAUUGCGCUUUUCUGGAUGUCUUUAGUUUUGUCAUGCUGAUGAAGUUCUUACUCGAUUUAUUUAGUCAGCAUGCAUGUUGCCUAACCUUACGUUGUCCUCUGCUCUGGGAUCCUCUUUGGUUCAGGUGGUACCACAGCUUUUCUAGGAAGAAAGCCAGGAUUUCUCUGGUCAUUGGGGUGCAUUUGCUUGCUGCUUCCCUUAUCUUUGUUUAUAUUACGCUGCCAUCCAUGGCACUCCUGCACCUGUCCUGUGUUUGUGUGGUGCCCAAAGCGUGACACCUCUGUAGCUUGUGGUUUGUGUGGGGGAUGAAAAGCCCCACAGGGAAUGGCUGGAGAUUGUUAUAAAGAUCUUAAUGGUGUAUUUUGCUCUCCUAAAUGAAAUUUCUGCCACAGGCCUUCCUAUGCGCUGAAGCAUAGGAAUCCAUCUGAAAGUGCCUUCACCCCCUGUGUGUUUAUUUUCAAAGUCCUUCAGGUUUUGUUUGUCUAUUUUGUCGUGUCCAGUUUCUUAUCUGAUGCCUUCUGGUUACCUUUCUAACUCAGGGACAAAGUCCAAAGACAGAUUGGCAUCUACUUAUGGAGGGUGGGGUUGGCAGAGGAAUGAAUUAGCUCUGCCCCCUUUUUGAUCUGAAUAUUGUCCUCAUAAAACAACCCCAGCUGAGGUCUGAAAGAGUUGCAUCUCCUGCAACUACUACUGUCACAGUCACCACACAGAAUAUAUGCCAUCUUAAAUUAAGGGACAAGACUGCUACCCCAUGGAGCUGUGGCAUCAGGGGUGAUAAGGCCGUGAGGCAUAUUUAGUAGGAGAAUUGACUGCUGGCAAAUGUCCCUCAAGGACGCCCAAGGAUCAAGGUCCCACGUCAUGCCCAGGCACUCCACCACACUGCUUCAUCAUCCCUACUGCUGGAAAGCAGGCCUUCAAGCUUCACAUGGAUCUUCCUGUCAUUUAAAGACUAUUACUUCUUACCCUGGCCCCCCAAAAUAAUUGUGUAUGCUCUCUGUGUGCUCUGCCUGCUUUAACAUUGAGUGUUUGUAUUUCAGAGAGCACACAGAAGCAAAGAAAAUGAACUCAAACCUCAGAAGGUGACUUGCAAGCCUUUCUGGCUGAGCAGGGCUUGGCUGGAAGACAGAAAACUCUGCUUAUACCAUACCAGUAUGGUCUUCAAGCACCUCAGGGUGUUCUGGCUGCUGGUAUUUAAUGAGUGGCAGUGCAUGGACACUGCAAAAGGAAUACGAGAAGAUGUGUUACAAAGCAGUUGUUCCCUUAUAACACACUUGUGAUCUGCCAUGUGGCUGGAGCAAGGCUCAGCAGUGACUGAGACCUCGUUCAGGUGAGGGUGAGCGACCUCGAGUGCGUAAAAGAGAGAAUGUGAAAUAUGUGAGCACAGCAAGAUAGCAGACAAUCUUGUGGUGAUUAUUAAUGGUCAUGUCCAGGUAAGUAGCAUGGUGAGUUAUUUACAAUAUCCCCUGUUGGUAGAGAGAUUACUGCAGUAAUGUUAAUGAGGGGGGACAAUAAAUAGUGAGGAGGCUAAUGGUGGUUGCUUUAACUGGAGACCAGACCAAAAUCCUCUCCAGGGCCAUUUAGUUGGCUCUCCUGACACUCUACUUGUGCAGAAAUUACCUCAGCUGUCAACUGCUUCUUCCAUUCCUGCUGUAAGUGACCGAGGUGAUGGUGGCGAUGUCACUCUAGUGGUCCAUGAUGUAAGGUGCGAGUGAGUUUCAGUCUCGGGAGACAAACGCACCUCCCAAACAAGCACGUCUCCUCAAACAUCUUUUCAGGUGUCUGAACAGCCCUCUUCAAGAGGCUGUGCAACUGCAGAUUUUUCCAUGUUUUACCAAAGCGGCAGGAAAAGCAGUGCUUUCCGACAACAUUCCACAGCCAUUGCUUUGAUUUUGGAGAAUUCAUUUCAAAAAAAUGUCUAGCGAGCUGAAUAAAGCUGAAUUAGCAAAUCACAGAUACCCAGAAGGAACAGUGUCCUGUUUAUAAGGAAAGAGUGCGGUUACUGUGGUCAGACAGCCGGGCCACAGGCCAGGUCAUGCCUCCUAAGCAUAUUUUAUCUCGCCUCAUGUCACAGGCAGGAUGUGGGGGAUGUACGAGUUUCUCCUCUGAAAGGUGAGGGUGAUUCACAGAGAGUGCAGGCUGGCGUUACUCCUGUGCCGGCUGCUUUGCCUUACACCAGCUUCUUCAUGAAGGUAUCGGAGGAAAUCACCUCAGUGGCGUUCCCCAGGCAGUCGGGGUGGCCAAGGCAGGCUGUGACCAGGCCUGAAUGGACCCCUUCUUCUCGGCCAGGUGCUACUACUUAAGGGCUGCUUUCUGACCCUUCCAGUGGUGCGAUCAGACAAGCAACAGCACUGGCAGUGGGGAAGGGAAAAGUGUACGAGCCCAUCUAACUCCAGGCUGCAGCUGCUGUGUGAGAAGGAAUCCAGUUACGCAAACCUCAACAGAAGCCAUGCCUUGUUGCUGGGGGAGAAUGCUCUUGGUCAUUCUUCAUCCCUUUUUCCUGUGGGAUACUUGAAAGCACAGGGGUCAAACUGAACCAAGUGGAAAAGCCAGCAAUCUCUCCAUUUUAAGGAACAUACCCUACUUAAAAGCAUGUCUCUGGCUGGAGUGAAGAUGGACUGGAUGACUUUGGUGUGCUCGAGGGCAGGACUGCCACCCAGAGGGACUGAGUCAGAGAAGCUGUCCUGAAAGACGAGCAUGGAGGAGGCAGAGGACCUCUGCAGCCAGGAUGUGCUGCUGUGGUGUGCAAUUGCACAAACCAAGCUGUUGUGUAUUCAGAGUCGCAUCUGCCUGUCCAAAUGACCAAAACGAAGUAUUUUCUGCUUUCUACUUUAUUUAAACCUGCUGGAGCCAGCAAUGCUCAUCCUCCUCAUGCACCAAGGUAUCCACAUGUGCCACUCGCCAACCUGGGACUUCUUCACCAAGCAAUGUCUGAGCAAAUCUCCUAAAAACAGAGCAACUGCUCACAGAUUAUUGUGAUCAUAAUUUGGCUGACAUAGCCUUUAUUACUAAUGGUGAUGCUGGAGAUGGAAAACCCAUCUUGAUUCUCAGAUCCCUGCUGGAAAGUAAUAAAAUAAAGAGGAACAAAAUCCAUGAGUGUAUUUGCUACCAAACCUUUGAAAAACACAAGAAUGGAACCCUGCCAAUACUGUUGCUGGCAAUUUUUCAGACCAGUGCCUCUCUCUGAGAUAGCAUUAGAAUUGGAAGUGCAUUUUAUAUCUAUGACAUUAGUAUCGCAUUGUGUACAAACGGAGAGUUUACAAUUAUUUGACGUUUACUGGUUUGCAUUGUAAUUAUUGUGUGCUGCUCUUAUAUCUUCAGUUUAUUUUUAAGCACCUUCCAGUAAUGUAAUAAUUAGAAAAUAACUUCAGUUAUUGUGAAAAAUGUGUUUAUUUUGCUAACUGAAAGAAUGGGAAAAGGAAGUGCUUCAGUGGAAGUGCCCUUAUAAAAAUGGAAGGUAUUGCAGUUUUUCAGUGAGGUCUUUGUUGAGAACAUCGGGUAAGGGAGGUUGGCUUUUACAUAGUCUCCUUUGUCCAUCUUUGUGCAAUGGCAGAAUUUGCAGCUAAUUCUGAUGGCAGAAGCUUCUCCUGUGGUGGUAGCUGAGGAUGAUAUAAUGUCAUGUACAACCAUAGGAAAUUUCCCCAAGCCAUAGCUAGGAUUUUGAAUAACAGAAUGAGCCUUUGGUACUAAGAAACAAGCCCGCAGUACUAAGAACACAGAAAAAGCUAUUAAAUUUUAAACGUAAAAAGGGCCACUUGAUAAAAUCAGUAGCAAAUAAAAGAGGAAUGUAAAUGUAAUUUCAUUGAUUGAUUUCACUCUGUCUCUUUUUUCAUGUUAAUAUAUUUUUGUCUCUUAAUUCAUAACCACACGGUAAUUAAAAAAUGUAAGAAAAACUAACUUUUUACCAUGCUAAUUAAACUGUAUGUCACAUAGGCAUUUGGGGAGAAUUUCCCAUGCUUUCUAGAGUGAAUGGAAGGAAAGAGCAGUGGUGCUCACUUUAAAUUCGAUUUUUCUCUAGUACCUUGCAAAAAGGCUUCAUUGUAUUUUGAUUAAUCCAUGCUUGGUCCACCUCGGAUGUUUCCAUGGAAACAGAUUUUUUUUUUUUUGAUGGCAACUGUUAGGCUCGGGAAGGUUCCUCUCUGCACAAAACCACUCCAGCUCCUAAAGAACUAUACAUUGCAAAUUUAAUAUACAUAAACAAAACUCCCAAAUUCCUCCUCAGUAUCAUUGUCGUCACUGCUAAUAGAGAACUGUUUUCUUAAUGAUACACAGUGGUGCUCUUUCACUCCACAAGAAAAUAGAAUAACCUUAUUAUUCUUUCUACUGCAAGAGAGCACUUUUCUUGGUCCAGAAAAAUAUUAGCCUGCAAACCUUUCAAAAUUAAAUUUUAAGAGUUCUGAUGUGUGAAUAUUAUCUAGUUCUGGACAUAAAUCAUUUGGCUUAAUGGCUGUUAAAAUUGAAUUAAACUUGUCUUGUAGAUUGGUAGUAAUUUGAA